rnacentral:rRNA from 1 species
GAUGAACGCUAGCUACAGGCUUAACACAUGCAAGUCGAGGGGCAUCAGUUUGGUUUGCUUGCAAAUCAAAGCUGGCGACCGGCGCACGGGUGAGUAACACGUAUCCAACCUGCCUCAUACUCGGGGAUAGCCUUUCGAAAGAAAGAUUAAUAUCCGAUAGCAUAUAUUUCCCGCAUGGGUUUUAUAUUAAAGAAAUUCGGUAUGAGAUGGGGAUGCGUUCCAUUAGUUUGUUGGCGGGGUAACGGCCCACCAAGACUACGAUGGAUAGGGGUUCUGAGAGGAAGGUCCCCCACAUUGGAACUGAGACACGGUCCAAACUCCUACGGGAGGCAGCAGUGAGGAAUAUUGGUCAAUGGACGCGAGUCUGAACCAGCCAAGUAGCGUGAAGGAUGACUGCCCUAUGGGUUGUAAACUUCUUUUAUAUGGGAAUAAAGUGGUCCACGUGUGGAUUUUUGUAUGUACCAUAUGAAUAAGGAUCGGCUAACUCCGUGCCAGCAGCCGCGGUAAUACGGAGGAUCCGAGCGUUAUCCGGAUUUAUUGGGUUUAAAGGGAGCGUAGGCGGAUUGUUAAGUCAGUUGUGAAAGUUUGCGGCUCAACCGUAAAAUUGCAGUUGAUACUGGCAGUCUUGAGUGCAGUAGAGGUGGGCGGAAUUCGUGGUGUAGCGGUGAAAUGCUUAGAUAUCACGAAGAA